GAAGAGAAGUGGCCAUCAGAACCCACCGAUGAAGCCCCCUGCCCCCACCCCGACAGCGGUCCGAGCAGCUACUCUGCCGCGGGCAGGACAGACCUCAGCCCAGACCCCAGAGCUAAGGCGGCACCGAGUGGUUUCGACAUGACUCUACAUCGCGUUCUGCUCAGGGUCAGCCCCGCCAGUUUUGUGUGAGGAAAUGAAACCCGAGCCACUUCUUGGAAGACCAGCACCAGUCUCGGGCACCGCCCUCAGCCAAAGACCUCAGCUGCAUCCCUGGCAACCCAGACCCAUUCGCCCAGGCUCACCCCAAAGCCAGGCUCGGUCACCAGGGGACCCUGGAGCUCCCGAGCUCAUGCCUGGACUCCAUGCAAAGGAGGAAAGCACUGGUGUUUGCUGCAAAGGAGGAAAGCCAAGAGAUUCACUUUACGGCACAUGAAACAUUCCUGUGGACCUGUGGACUGCUCUUCAGAUGUUUCCUAGGGAGGUAACUGAGCUGGAAAUGCCCCUCUUGCACUGGCAAAGGGUUGUGCAUGACAAAGAUGAGGAGAUGGAGGCCACAGAGAGACCUGGAAACUCGCUCAGGGUGUCUGCAGCAUGAAUUCAGCACAACGGGGCGGAGGUGAAAAUGCCCGUUAGGGGGACUAGGUACGAGCUUGUGCUUUGAACCCUACUAUCCAAACCCUGGUGUUAAUGGGAACAACGAUCGGCCAAAAAACAGGGUUUGGGAAUCUGAAUGUGCCUGACAGGAAAUGCCUGAGUUCCCCAAAUCACAUUAAAUCGCCACAUCUGGGCGCCUUUAAUAUGUAUAUUAAAUCACAAAAGUGAAAAUGUGAAACAGCACAAAUAUGCAGCCCGGGUGGGAUUCCAAGGCGUCAACCCUCCCCACUUGGCACACUCAGAGCUGGAAAUGCGCGUAUUUAUCUCUGAACGAAAAGCUCGCUUUGAUUUCUUCUUUUUCUCUUUUCUUCUCUCUUCCUUCCUUUCUUUUUCUGAGACUGAGACAACGGCAGAAAGGGAAACAGGAGCCAAUAUCACACGAGAGGCCGCGGGGGCCCGGCAAACAGCCCCGAGACGACAGCCAGACCAGGCGGCCCGCAGGCCCAGGGCUGCCCCUCGGCGGUCCCCCCACCUUCGGGGGCACAGCCUGGAAUUUGCUGUGUAGGGAGGGAACCCGUUCCCACCUCUGGGCUUGGAACCAAGAGCGACCAAUCUUGGGGUCAGAGGGGACCUCUGAAUUCUUUCUUUAAAAAGGAAAAGAAAAAAAAUUUUUUUCUUCCAAGUGGGAAACACCAUUUUGUAUUACUUAAGGAUGCUGCAACUGCCUUCAAAAGGAUGUCGCUCUUUCCUCUCAUUUAAUCAUGACCCCACAAAGAGGAAUGUUUCUCAACCGCGCUCCUGCUGCUCUGAGAGCCUCCUCGCACCAAGCUUAUUUGGAGAGAACGGCCAGGCAGACGAUGGCACAGCGCUGCUUCCCUCUCACCAAGGACUGGCCGCGGCCGGGAUGCCCACAGAGGCCGACGGCGGCGGUAUGAGGUCCUUUCUGCGGGUGACAUUUGAGGAGGGGGUGUACUGCCGUCACCCUCAUUUGUUCUUCCGGUUCUGAUUCCGGGCAGCCCGCUCGCUGGUGCCACGGAAAGACUCUGUUUAUCAGUGAACGGGGAGAACCAGGCUUGGGCUUCCCCUUCCUGCAGCUUCUGCUGGGCGAGGCCUGAAGGCCGGGAGUGGGGAGGAAGCAAGCUUGGGGUUCUAGAGAGCGUCCGCGCUGGAGGGUCCACAGCCUCCGUGGCUUCCUGACCUGCCCUUCCGAGCAGAGGGGUCUUAGGGGAGAUCCAUCCCGUCUAAAUUCCAUGGUCUGAGUCAAGGGGCCAUUUCUACAAGGAAGUCAGAGACGUGAGUUAGAGUCCAGCGUGGCCCCUACCUAGUUCUGUGACCUUGGGCCUUAGACCUCCCCAAGCCUUGAUUGUUCCUCUGUGAAAUGGGAGCCGGGUUAAGAUUUUCUGUUAUAUUUUCCAUCUCAUAUUCGGUGAUUAUUUGGGCCACAGCCAGUGUCAAGUAUGUAGGAUUAUGAACUUGAGCAGCUGGACAUUAAUCAUUGUCAGUGUAUCAGGAAGACUGAAUUUCUGGACCCCAACGUCUUAAGUUUCAGGGACACACACACACACACACACACCUCUCUGGCAGAGAUUUUCGGAGUGUCCCUUCAUGCAGGGGGUUCGCACUCGUGCCUCACGUUCGAGCCAAGUAUGUGCUGUGCAUGAAGGCCAGUACACCGUGCACGGUCUCCGGGGGGCAGGCAUCGCCAGGUGCCUCAGAACUCCUGGCCACCUGCCCCGUUCAGCCAGAGGAAUGAACCGCCUUCCCCAUGGAAUCCUAACUGUACAAGUGCACUGAGAUUCCGUCCACUUCUUUCUGUCAGGACGGCACCAAAAAUGUCAGUUACUCCCUGUAUCACCCAAGAAUUCUCGUAGAAUCACAGAGAGAAAAAUGUGUCUGAGCACUAGUAUCUUCCAGUGUUGAUAGUGUCAAAAUAUGGCCAUUCUCACCUUCUCUUCUUUGGCCUUUACUGCCUAAGACUUAUGCUGGAUGCUGGUUGCAUUUAAAAGCAAAUUUCCUAAUUUCCAAUCAACCACUCCAGAAGCAAAUGUAGGUCUGGAGAAAAAUGUCUGUCUUAUUCUAUAUUCCAGUGUUUCCAAGCCAGUCCCCCCGUGAUGUGAGAGUCCACCUGCACAGGAAGCCAGCCUCAAUGAGUCGAAUACAUUUCCCAAACUUUUAUUCUUCUUUCCUUCCCCAAAUACCUCUGUAAUUAGCCUACUCAAAAUUCUGCAGGUCUGUCUUACCUGCUUCCAAGGAAGACUCUCAUGUCCAACCCCUGUAUUCCCAGGAGUCUAAAUCUCUGUGGCAUCAACUCUGUGAUGUGCCAGAAGCGCCCGUUGCCAAGCCAGCUCGCCUUUGUCCAGCUGUCUGGGUCCCGACCAAUGAUGCCAUCCACUGGGGCACAUCGGCCCCUCACUUAUCAUGGUUAAGCACAGCCAUUACCUGUCGACUUCAGCCUCCCUGUUUAUCUGGGACAAUAAUGAGUUCCUGGGGACGGGACUGCUCUCAGGCAGCCACAGCUAUCCUGGGACACUCACAAUGGCAGAGCCCUGUGGUUAAUGAACGGAGCCACCUGCGCAGCGGAUAAGCCCAGGUGUGAGGCCAGGGAGUGGUCUCUGCACCCAGCCCCACCCCAGAACGGGCUGUGGCUUGGCAAGGUUUUGCCAAAAAAAUGGUUCCCUUCCUCCCCUGCCAACUACUGCUUCAUGAAUAGCUCUGAAGUGGCUUUUACCAAGAUGGAAACAGUUUCCACUUAGGAAGUGGAUGACAUCUCUUUCCUUAGAGCUCAUUAGUUGAUGAAAGUAAUUAAAAGUCAUCCUUUCUCCUUUCUAGUGUGUUUGUUAUGGGAAACAACCCUGGUGAGGGGUGAGUGUGGGGGCCCAGGGUAAGCUGGGCCGAGCUGCGCUCCUGCUUGGGUGUGAAAAGCAACUUGUUACCACUCAGUUACUCAUCCGUGCCUCUGAUAAGCUGGGGUCUAUGUAUAUUUAAAAGAAAAAAAAAUUAAGCCAAACAUAAAGGCCUUGCUUUUCUUUUUUGCAUUUUUCUUCUCUAGCAAUCUCUCUUAUUUUACCCUUUAAUCAGUCAAAAUCACACCCAUAUAGACCACCUACUGGGAUGACUCCACGUUUACUUCUUUGUUUUACGAAUGAAGACUUUGGUGUUCUUUGCUUAUUUGGGUCUAUGAGUUUAAUGGGUACCGAGGCCGUUUCUUCUUCCAGAUGGUCACUGCGCAUCCUUGCUGGCCUCUAAGUGUUCCUGGGGCAGGGAGCCCUGAGCCCUGGACGCCUGUCGUGCACCCCUAUGGCAAGUCCUUUUCUUCAGCCUGGACAACGAACCCCUUUACCUUGAGUCCUUUCUGGAACCUGGGGCUUUAAGCAAACUCACGACCCAGUGUCUGAGCCCUUCCACAAAGUGUGCAGGGGUCCCUAACUGAACCCCCUCACAAACUCCCUGCAGCAGCUACAUCCUGUCCCGAAAGACAAAAUAAAAUUUAGAGUCACAUGAUACGGCUGAUGUCCUGCAGGAAUUGUGAGGAGCCAGGAGCCCUCUGCCCCUGGCAUUCAGCAAGCCUCUUCCCACUGGGCUGGGAAGCUGCAGUGUUUCCAAGAAAGGAGUCAGAUUUUACUGAACACCUACUAUAUACCAAAUAUGUGCUGGGCACUUUUACUUAUUUCACUUAUGCACUUAUUUCAUUGAAACAACAAUGCUCCUGAAGUAUUUGUUACUAUCCCCAUUUUACAGAUGAGGAGACUUCCCUAGGAAGGGUAUGGAACUGACUCGAUGAAGGUCGCCUGCUAGAAAGGGACAAAGCUGGACUGAAGUCCAGUGCUACGCCUCCAAAGUCCACACUCCCUGCUGAGGAAUGCACUCCCCAGCCUGGUUUCCCCUCGCCCCUUCCUAGUCCUGACAGGCUGGGGUCACAGCGUCA